rnacentral:rRNA from 1 species
UACGAAGGGGGCGAGCGUUGUUCGGAUUUACUGGGCGUAAAGGGCGCGCAGGCGGCUCAUUUUGUCAGGCGUGAAAGCCCCGGGCUUAACCUGGGAACUGCGUUUGAUACGGAUGGGCUAGAGUUCGGGAGAGGAGAGUGGAAUUCCUAGUGUAGAGGUGAAAUUCGUAGAUAUUGGGAAGAACACCGGUGGCGAAGGCGGCCCGCUGGGCAGAGACUGACGCUGAGGCGCGACAGCGUGGGGAGCAAACAGG